GAUGAAGGUUUUCGGAUCAAAAAGUUCUGUUGUUAGGGAAGAACAAGUACCGUUCGAAUAGGGCGGUACCUUGUUGGUAUUUUAACAGAAAGCCACGGCUAACUACGGGCCAGCAGCCGCGGUAAUACGUAGGCGGCCCGCGUUGUCCCGGAAUUAUUGGCCGUAAAGGGCUCGCAGGGCGGUUUCUUAAGUCUGAUGUGAAAAGCCCCCCGGCUCAACCGGGGAGGGUCAUUGGGAAACUGGGGGAACCUUGAGUGCAGAAGAGGAGAGUGGAAUUCCCACGUGUAGCGGUGAAAAUGCGUAGAGAUGUGGAGGAACACCAGUGGCGAAGGCGACUCUCUGGUCUGUAACUGACGCUGAGGAGCGAAAGCGUGGGGAGCGAACAGGAUUAGAUACCCUGGUAGUCCACGCCGUAAACGAUGAGUGCUAAGUGUUAGGGGGUUUCCCGCCCCCUUAGUGCUGCAGCUAACGCAUUAAGCACUCCCGCCCUGGGGGAGGUACGGGUCGCAAGACUGAAACUCAAAGGAAUUUGAACGGGGGCCCCGCAACAAGCCGGUGGGAGCAUGUGGUUUAAUUCGGAGGCAACCGCGGAAAGAGCCUUACCAGGGUCUUGGACGAUCCUCUGGACAGUCCUUAGAGAUAGGGACGUC
rnacentral:rRNA from 1 species